UACAGAGACCUCAAGCGUUAUCCGGAUUUAUUGGGCGUAAAGCGUUGGUAGGCGGUUUAGUAAGUCAGGCGUCAAAUCCCGGUGCUCAACAUCGGAACUGCGCCUGAAACUACUAAGCUAGAGGCUGGGAGAGGUAGAUGGAAUUGCCGGUGUAGCGGUAAAAUGCGUUAAUAUCGGCAAGAACACCAAAUGCGAAAGCUUUCUACUGGAACAGUCCUGACGCUGAGCAACGAAAGCGUGGGGAGCGAAUGGG
rnacentral:rRNA from 1 species